GUCGCCGCCAGCGUGCCGAUGACGAGGAAGACGUGGUAGGCGGUGGUGAAGGCGCCGCGCCACUUGGCUGGCGAUAUCUCGGCGAGGUACAGCGGAGCCGCCUGCGGUCAACGGACCCAUCCGAAGCCGAGCAGCAUCCGGCCGACGAUGAGCAUGGCGAUGUUCACGGCGGCGGCGUUGACGGCGGAGCCGGCAAGGAACAGGGCGCCGCCAGUGAGCAUGACGGCCUGGCGGCCCACGCUCCUGGUCACCCGGCUCGCCACCAGCGACGACAGCACGCCGGCGAUGUACAGCGACGACGUGAACGCCGUCAGCAUCUGGUUGUCAUACUUGCAGUAG
rnacentral:rRNA from 1 species